rnacentral:ncRNA from 1 species
UGGGGUUGAUCGCGAUUACCCCGUGAGGCGCCAGCCCAAAGAUCGC